AGAGAUGUAGCUCAGUGGUGGGGCAUUUGCCUAGCAUGUAUGAGGCCUGGGUUCAAUCCUCAGUAUCACAA
rnacentral:tRNA from 1 species